AUACUGCUGAGUGCGGCGUUAAACACCAAACCAACCAACCAAACCAAAAUAGCAGUGUGCACUGAUAAACAAGGGUUUCCUCCCUCAACCUGACUGUCAGAUAUUUAACCAUGUCUUUUCAGGGUCUAUUUAUCAAUUUAUGAUUUGUCGUACCUGAACUACUGUCCCACGGGCAUGUUUGUGACCGUCGUCGUCGGGACAGUUGCGAGUCUUGCAUCACGAUGGUGUGUUCCCGAAUCUCCUGUAUCAGGUCGGUACAGCCAGCCUGUACUCGAUGAACUAUGUCCGUGUCUGCCCGAGAAGGUUUUGAAGGUGUUCCGAUGCAAAACACAACUAGAACCGCAGGACGAAACGAACGAGGAGAUCCCAUUCGAUAUCACUCGAAGAAAUCUUGUGUAAGGUCAAGCACACAAACGCCAAAUACAUGAUCUUUGUCGUCUCCUGGUUUGCGGAAUAUUGUCGACAUGAGGAUGUGGAGAAGUUUUGUCACUUUGCAAGACUUUGAGCAGAUAAAGUUCUAGAUAUAUUGUUGAUUGUUUUAAUCUGUUUAAAGGCAAUAGCGUCCUGGGUCCAUGUGUGACGAUCCUGGUGGCAUAACGCUCUAUUGGCAAAAUCACACCUAUGGAAGACUUUUGACAAAAACCAGUAAAAUGAAGCUAUUGAAGGAAUUUUAUCUCAAUCUUUACGGUUUAUCACCACUAUUUCCAAGACACUGCAGUAACAACAAUCAUGGAAAGAAACUAUCAGUUUUAAAAGUCAGGUUUCAUACAUUUGCUAAAUUGGUGCCCAAUACAUGUUCUGGAACAUAUAAUGAUGACGUUUUGUCUAGAGAAAAUAUGACUACCACGUACGCUCAUAUUGAUAUGUUUGUUCUUGUUACUUUAAACGGUUAUGUUACUAUGUGAAAGUAAUUCAGGGGAAUGCCUCUGACAUAUGUUUUACAUCAUUUGACACCUGUUUAUAUAUCAAUACAUUAAUCAGUAAAUACCCUCUUACAAUUGUGGCUACAUAUCAUGAAAAUAUUGUUUGUGUAUUUUAUGAACUAUGGCAACAAAUAUAAGACAAACAAACCUACGACCACCCAUAUUAUUUUGUGUUUCACAUUCCCAAAUCUAACAUGUGGAGCAUACAGCAAGUGCAUGGUGCGUGACUAAAUGCCAUGUGUAUAUGUGGUAAUAACUGUGCAUUUCCACUACGUGUGUCAAUAAAAACAUGUAAGCAUAAG